GAUGAACGCUGGCGGCGUGCCUAAUACAUGCAAGUCGAGCGAACAGACGAGGAGCUUGCUCCUCUGACGUUAGCGGCGGACGGGUGAGUAACACGUGGAUAACCUACCUAUAAGACUGGGAUAACUUCGGGAAACCGGAGCUAAUACCGGAUAACAUGUUGAACCGCAUGCUUCAACAGUGAAAGACGGUCUUGCUGUCACUUAUAGAUGGAUCCGCGCCGCAUUAGCUAGUUGGUAAGGUAACGGCUUACCAAGGCAACGAUGCGUAGCCGACCUGAGAGGGUGAUCGGCCACACUGGAACUGAGACACGGUCCAGACUCCUACGGGAGGCAGCAGUAGGGAAUCUUCCGCAAUGGGCGAAAGCCUGACGGAGCAACGCCGCGUGAGUGAAGAAGGUCUUCGGAUCGUAAAACUCUGUUAUUAGGGAAGAACAAAUGUGUAAGUAACUAUGCACGUCUUGACGGUACCUAAUCAGAAAGCCACGGCUAACUACGUG
rnacentral:rRNA from 1 species